rnacentral:lncRNA from 1 species
GGAAUUGUAUAAUGAAAAAAAUCGAGACUUGAAAAUGCUUUGAUGGAGUCACAUAAUGAAAUCUCUUGAAAAGUGACUACUCAUGUAAAAAUGAAAAUCCUUCAAGUGGACCGAGGAACUAUGAAGGUGAGGUAAAUGAUUGAUCAUCUUACCAAAGUGGGGGAAAUAUGCUCUAGUGUAUAAUGUUUGAUGUCAAAGCCGAGGUAAGCAACCAACACUGAUCAUCCAUUUAUGCAUCAACGCUGGAGUAAAUCUCAUCAAAGAAAAGGGAAUAUGCCCUAAUAUGACAUUUGAUGCGAAAAUCUUGAGUCAAGAAAAAAU